GUAACAGCUGGGCUUUCUAUCUUUAUAUUUAGCUGGCGCUCAGCCCCUUCUAGGGGAUCAUUGCUCAAGAAUGUCCCAGAGCACGGUGGGAGCACAGCAGGGAUGGAGAGAGGGGUUUUUAGGCCCAGCUUCCAGGACACGCUCAGUGCCGGGGUGACAAAUGGAUUCAGAGCAGGAGGGACAGUGACCACUAGAGUGGGAUGUGUUUGUCUCCAGAGUUCCGCACUCCAAGAUGGAAACCGACCGCGUGAGUGCACACACGGGUAAACGUCAGCACAUACACAUCCGUGGACCCAUCGCAGCGUCACGGUGAUGACCCGCCGCUCCCUCUUCUUCACGGCUCCUCUCUGCUCCUCACCAGCAAUUCCUCCUCCACCUGCUGUAUCCAGGCAACAGCUCACUCCUCCUGCCGCUUCAGGGUAAUUUGCAUGUCCUGGAGUUUUAUAUAAAUGGAAUCAUCUGUUAUGUGCUCUCUUUUCUGGCCUGGCUUCCUUUGAUCUGUGUCACAUUCUGAGAUUCCUCAGCGUUGUUGCAUAGACUGUAAGCAGUUGGUUCUUUUCAAUUGAUGAGUAAUACCCCGUUGCAUUCAUGCACUAUAACUAGUGUUUCCAUUUACCUGCUGUAUGCUCAGAUUGUGUCCAGUUUGGGGCUAUGACCAAUAAGACUGCUUAAAAGCUCUGUUCUCAAAGCCUUGGUGUAGACAUGUGAUUUCAUCUCCCUCGUGUAAAUAGCUCGCUGUGGGAUUGAUGUCACACGGCAGGUGUGUGCUUCCCAUUUAAGUAACUUCCAAACUGUCUGAAGUGAGCGCUAUUUUAUAGCUUCACAAGAAGGGCAGGAAAGUUCCAUUUUACUCAGGUUGGUCACACUGAGUACAGUAAGUCUCGAUUAUGUCAACUGCUGUAGAGUGGCAUUUCACUAGAUCUUAAAUCUGCAUUUCCCCAGUGGAUAACAGCCAUGUUGAGCAUCUUUUCAUUGUUUGUUUAUUUUUAUUUAUUUAUCUGUCUUUUUGAGACAAGGUCUCACUGUGCAGUUCAGGCUGGCCGUGAGCUCACUUUGUAGCCCAGGCUCAUCUUGAACUCGCAAUGAUCCUCCUGCCUCAGCCUCCCGAAUGCUGGGAUUACAGGCAUACACCACCACGCUUGGCUUUCAUUGUUUAUUUUUAACCCAUGUAUCUUCAUUUGUGAAAUGUUUCCUCAAAUCUUUUGCCUACAUAUUAAUUAGUUUUUUUCCUACUAAUGUGUUCUGAGAUGAUAUAUAGUUUUUUCUUUGAUGAACUGUGGAUUUUGGAUACCAAGGAAAUUUUUACUUAACCCAAAGUCAUGAAGACUCUCUUCUAUGUUUUCUUCUAAGAGUUUUAUAAUCUUAGUUCUAGUCGCUUUUUUGAAUUAAAUUUCAU
rnacentral:lncRNA from 1 species